GAUGAACGCUGGCGGCGUGCCUAAUACAUGCAAGUCGAGCGAACAGACGAGGAGCUUGCUCCUCUGACGUUAGCGGCGGACGGGUGAGUAACACGUGGAUAACCUACCUAUAAGACUGGGAUAACUUCGGGAAACGGGAGCAAAUACCGGAUAAUAUAUUGAACGGCUGGGUUAAUUAGUAAAAGACGGUUUUGCUGUCACUAAUAGAUGGAUCCGCGCCGCAUUAGCUAGUUGGUAAGGUAACGGCUUACCAAGGCAACGAUGCGUAGCCGACCUGAGAGGGUGAUCGGCCACACUGGAACUGAGACACGGUCCAGACUCCUACGGGAGGCAGCAGUAGGGAAUCUUCCGCAAUGGGCGAAAGCUUGACGGAGCAACGCCGCGUGAGUGAUGAAGGUCUUCGGAUCGUAAAACUCUGUUAUUAGGGAAGAACAAAUGUGUAAGUAACUAUGCACGUCUUGACGGUACCUAAUCAGAAAGCCACGGCUAACUACGUG
rnacentral:rRNA from 1 species